UAGAGUUUGAUCAUGGCUCAGGACGAACGCUGGCGGCGUGCUUAAUACAUGCAAGUCAACUGAACUUAAGAUAGCAAUAUUUUAAGGGAGGUGGCUGCACGGGUGAGUAACACGUAGGUAAUCUGCCUUUAGGUCUGACACAACCCCGAGAAAUCGGGGCUAAUAUCAGAUGAUGCAGCGGCUCGACAUCGAGACAGUUGUUAAACCUUCGGGGCCUAAAGAUGAGCCUGCGUCUGAUUAGGUAGUUGGCGGAGUAAAAGCCCACCAAGCCUGCGAUCAGUAGCUGGUCUGAGAGGAUGAUCAGCCACACUGGCACUGCGACACGGGCCAGACUCCUACGGGAGGCAGCAGUAAGGAAUAUUGCGCAAUGGGCGAAAGCCUGACGCAGCGACGCCGCGUGGGGGAUGAAGGUCUUCGGAUUGUAAACCCCUUUCGGGAGGGAAGAUGGAGCGAGCAAUCGUUCGGACGGUACCUCCAGAAGCAGCCACGGCCAACUUCGUGCCAGCAGCCGCGGUAAUACGAAGGUGGCAAGCGUUGUUCGGAUUCACUGGGCGUACAGGGUGUGUAGGCGGUUUGGUAAGCCUUCUGUUAAAGCUUUCGGGCCCAACCCGGAAAGCGCAGAGGGUACUGCCAGGCUAGAGGGUGGGAGAGGAGCGCGGAAAUUUCCGGUGUAGCGGUGAAAUGCGUAGAGAUCGGGAGGAAGGCCG
rnacentral:rRNA from 1 species